rnacentral:rRNA from 1 species
CGGGACGGGGUGAGUAAUGUCUGGGAAACUGCCCGAUGGAGGGGGAUAACUACUGGAAACGGUAGCUAAUACCGCAUAACGUCGCAAGACCAAAGAGGGGGACCUUAGGGCCUCUUGCCAUCGGAUGUGCCCAGAUGGGAUUAGCUAGUAGGUGGGGUAAUGGCUCACCUAGGCGACGAUCCCUAGCUGGUCUGAGAGGAUGACCAGCCACACUGGAACUGAGACACGGUCCAG